rnacentral:rRNA from 1 species
CCUACGGGAGGCAGCAGUGAGGAAUAUUGGUCAAUGGGCGCGAGCCUGAACCAGCCAAGUAGCGUGAAGGAUGACUGCCCUACGGGUUGUAAACUUCUUUUAUAAAGGAAUAAAGUGAGGCACGUGUGCCUUUUUGUAUGUACUUUAUGAACAAGGAUCGGCUAACUCCGUGCCAGCAGCCGCGGUAAUACGGAGGAUCCGAGCGUUAUCCGGAUUUAUUGGGUUUAAAGGUAGCGUAGAUGGGUUGGUAAGUCAGUUGUGAAAGCUUGCGGCUCAACCGUAAAAUUGCAAUUGAUACUGGCAGCCUUGAGUACAGUUGGGGUAGGCGGAAUUCGUGGUGUAGCAGUGAAAUGCUUAGAUAUCGCGAAGAACUCCGAUUGCGAAGGCAGCCUACUAAACUGCCACUGACAUUGAUGCUCGAAGGUGUGGGUAUCAAACGGGAUUAGAUACCCGAGUAGUC